UACGUAGGGUGCGAGCGUUAAUCGGAAUUACUGGGCGUAAAGCGCGUUCAGGCGGUUUGGCAAGUCGGGCAUGAAAUCCUUCGGCUCAACCGGGGGAGGUUGUCCGAUACUGCUGAACUGGAGGGCAGUAGAGGGUGGUGGAAUUCCGGGUGUAGUGGUGAAAUGCGUAGAGAUCCGGAGGAACACCAGUGGCGAAAGCGGCCACCUGGACUGCACCUGACGCUGAAACGCGAAAGCUAGGGGAGCGAACGGG
rnacentral:rRNA from 1 species